GAUGAACGCUGGCGGCGUGCUUAACACAUGCAAGUCGAACGAUUAAAGCCCCUUCGGGGGUGUAUAAAGUGGCGAACGGGUGAGUAACACGUGGGCAAUCUGCCCCUCACUUCGGGAUAACUCAGGGAAACCUGAGCUAAUACCGAAUACUCCGGUCGGAUCGCAUGGUCUGACCGGGAAAGCUCCGACGGUGAGGGAUGAGCCCGCGGCCCAUUAGCUUGGUGGUGGGGUAAUGGCCCACCAAGGCGACGAUGGGUGGCCGAGCUGAGAGGCUGAUCGGCCACACUUGGACUGAGACACGGCCCGGACUCCUACGGGAGGCAGCAGUGGGGAAUUUUGCGCAAUGGGCGAAAGCCUGACGCAGCAACGCCGCGUGCGGGAUGAAGGCCUUCGGGUUGUAAACCGCUUUCAGCAGGGAUGAAAUUGACAGUACCUGCAGAAGAAGCCCCGGCUAACUACGUGCCAGCCGUCGCCGUAAGAC
rnacentral:rRNA from 1 species